rnacentral:rRNA from 1 species
GGGAUAAGUGCUGAAAGCAUCUAAGCACGAAGCCUCCCUCGAGAUGAGAUCUCUUUAUAAGGGUGGUUGUAGACUACGACCUUGAUAGGCUGCAGGUGUAAAGGCGGUAACGUCAAAGCCGAGCAGUACUAAUUGCCCGUAAGCUUUAUUUCG